UUUUGCUUUUUGGGCUGCACCUGUGGCAUGUGGAGGCUCCCAGGCUAGAGGUCUAACUGUAGCUGCAGCUGUCAGCCUAUACCGCAGCCACAGCGACUCCAGAUCCAACUCCGGAUCUAUCUGUGGCCUACACCACAGCUCACAGCAACACUGGAUCCUUGACACACUGAGCGAGGCCAAGCAGAGAGCCCGCAUCCUCGGGGAUACCAGUCGGAUUUGUCUCCACCGCGCCACAAUGGGAACUCCAACGUAUUAUUUUAAAAUAAACGUAUUGAACUUUAAAGUAGAAGGGAUGAGAAAGAAAGUUUAAUCUAACUGCUCCCCAGCACACAUGGAAACAGAGGCAGAGUUGAACGGACUUCCCAAAUCGCACUGCAAAGUGGUGGAAAAAAUAAGAAUUAAAAGCUAAAGCACAAUGUUUUGCCAGAUACAAGGGAGAAGCUCAGUUAAUACUUAGGGAAGCGUGCGAAAACGUAUUUCUCUCCUCUGAUUUUUUUUCCACGAUGCUCUGAUAUCAAAAUUACCUCAGUAAAAUUUAAUGUACCUAUGAGGUUAGUAGAAUUCUUUUAUUUCUUCCUGCACAUUUUGAAAUGUGUGUGCUUUGUCCAUUUCCUCUGGUGGACGACAGACUGAGUGUUUGAUUCAUAAACAAGGAGUCUAAAGGAAGUGAGUCCUGGGGGUCAUAUAACUUGCCCCAGGUCCAGGAGCAGGCAGAGCCAGGUCUUGAAUCUACCCCCCCUGCCGUUAAAGCUUCCCCCUGACCAUCUCAACAACAAGAGCUCGCGCUGAUCUGGCGCUUGCUCUGGACCACAUGGUACACCGAGCAUUUAACUUGCAGUAUCUUACUGGAUAGUCACGAUGUUUUAUCUGCAAAUACUAUUAUUGCCACUACAAUUUUUUCAGAUGAUGCAAAUGACGAUGAGAAAGGUUCAACAGCCGUUUUGUUAAAGGCAGAGUCAAAAGGGCACUUUCUUGGCAUGAAGUAACUUGCCCAGACUGAGAUGCGGUCUGUGUUCGUCUCUACGAUGGCAGGUGGGCUGCCCUGGCCGGGAAAUAUACAAGCGGACACAAAUGUAGAUCUUACUCUCAAGUGCAAGAGUCAAAGAAAAAUACUUGUGUGGUCAAGGUGAAACCCAUCAUGCCCAUAAAGAGCCAGAAGCCCUUCUUCAAUCUUUUGAUCAGUGAAUUCUAUACCUAAAUAAAAUAAUUAUUGCUUUCAUAAAACGUCUCUGUUGGCCACUGACAGAGAGAAAACUGAACCAAUAUGUCCUGCAAUAGCCUUUAAAUAACUAAGGAGAGGGAUCAAAAUAAAAAUAAAUCUUGACCAGAUUUAUAGGUGCCCCUUGAUUAGUUCUUGUUUUUUUCCCUCAAAUAAACAAUACCUGGAAAAAAUGAAAAGCGAAUGCUGAGACCAGAUAUCUUGUAAUAGAUGGGUUUUCUCUGACAAACAGUAUGGUAUGAUGCUGAAAAAAUAAUGCUGGCCCAUCAUUCGUGAGGCUUAGCGGAAAGUAGAAACGAGAAAAAGAGGAGGGGAUUUUCCGGGUGUGGAACGGAGCAACCACUUGGAUGUGAACAAACUAGCAUUUUUUUUUUUUUUUAUUGCACGUCUCACAGUUUUGUUAUGUGCUUGCAUUGCGUCGUUUCCCCACACACCUCUGUCUUUCCUUCAACUGAUAACCAUUUUUUGAUUCAAACAUUUUAAUAUUAAAACCAAACCUAGUUCAUCUGGAUAUGAUACUGAUGCUAAUGAGAAACCAAGUCUCAGAGGAAUUUAACUGUUUACGUGGUGAGGCGGCUGUUUACCCAGUAAACCCCCGAUUCCCUGUUAGACCCCUGACAGAAAUGCCCGUCGAUAAAAUUAAGGCUUAUUUUAAAAAGAGGGGAAGUCUCACUUUUCUCGAAACCCCCCUUUUUUUUAAUGAAAACUUCUUCCUUUCCCGCAGGCGGCAUUUUAUCUGAGAUCCACUGGGUUAGUGGAAGAAAAAUACCUGUUAAAGGAAGAAGGUUCCCAUCAAAGCUGUUGAAAUCUGAUUUCAUUUCAGAUUCUAGAACUAAUGUUGUUUUUUGUUUAAAUAGAUUUUGUCUGUCAAUUUCCAGACCCGCUGUGCCAUCAGCCUGUAUGGGCUGCUGUGGUCAACAUGGGGGUUGUAGCGGCAAAUUUUAUUAGGGACUGGUAAUUGAAUUGAACAGGUUUAUAUUUGAAUAGAUUUACUACAUCAUGAUCUCUGACAUACUGCGUGGGACUGCAAUCCCUCUCCAUCCAUAAAGAUACAUUUAAGACAGUAUCAUUCUGCCCAGGCUGAGAAGGUAAGCCUUGAGCCAAGGAGAUGGCCCAACAUAAUUCUGUAUUUAUAUGCAGGGUAUAAUGCAAUAUUUCACUGUAUUUUUUUAAGUGCAGAAGAAAAAAAAGAGUAUUCCAUAUUUGCUCACAACCAUUCCUUCUCCUCCAUCUGGGGGAGGGGGCUCAGAGAUAGUUUUCUACCAACGGGGGUACAAGGAAGUGAAGGAAAAUAAAUUAUUUUUUGAGUAUAUCAGCAACAGCAGCAAUUCCCUUGAAAACAGCCCCUCUAAAGGCUUGAUAACAGCAACUGAAGAGGUGUGAAUUAUAGAUAAGCACCCGUCCCAUUUACUUUCACCAACAAUGUUUAAUUAAACACAAUUCACACCUCUCUUCAGUCACUCUAACCACCCUUCAAGACGGCUCCUGCUUGAAAACACAAUGGGGAAAAUUAUUUAGGGGAAAAUUUGUUUUCCACUUCCUCCUUCAACCCGGAAGGGCAAAUAGGUGAGUAAGUUAGAGCAGUAAAAUCCAACUCCUUAAAAGGGUUUAUGUUCGUUUUGGAACGUGAAAUCCAAAUCUAGGACACACCAAAUCAAAGUUGGAUUAAUUGAUAGAUGAUUUUCAUAGUAUUUUUUAAAAACUGAUUUGCUUUUUGAAAAUGAUUCCUCAACUCCAAAAUUCCGGUUUUGUGUUUUUCAAAAAAUUUGUAUAUGCUACCAUUCAUAUUCUUUUUUUUUUGGGGGGGGGUGACAAUGGCAUGCAAAAGUUCCUGGGCCAGGGAUCAAACCCACACAUAGCAGUGACAAUACCAGUUUCCUAACCUACUGAGCCACAAGGGAAGUCCUUGAAUGAGCCUAAGUUUAGUGUGAGUCUUUACAGCUUAACUUUAAGCUUAACUUUAAGUGGCAAUAUAAAAAUAAUUAAGACCAAAAAAUGACUGUCCAUCACCUGUUACACUCUGAAAUAUAUUUUGUUUGCUACUCUGCUGGAGGGUUUAAGGCAGCUACUAAGAUAACAUUUUCCACAACGACAACAAACGCAGGCGUCACUACCAUCCGCCCUAAAAGGAAAGACUAUGUCAUAUCAGUUAGGUUGUUAUUGUUGGAUUUUUAUUUAUACGUUUUCCUUUGUCAAAACUGUUGUUCUUAUGGCAUUUUUCACAUCCGCUUUCCCUAGCAAAAGCCUCCAUACCUGUCUUUUUGCCUGUGCAUCGCUGGAGCCUAGAAGAGUGCCUGGCACAUGAGAGGAACUUAAUAAAUAUUUAGGAAAUGAAUUGUAAAUGUGAAGGAGGUGAACUGCGGAAAAAUCCUA
ensembl:lncRNA